UACGAAGGGGGCUAGCGUUGCUCGGAAUCACUGGGCGUAAAGCGCACGUAGGCGGAUCUUUAAGUCAGGGGUGAAAUCCUGGAGCUCAACUCCAGAACUGCCUUUGAUACUGGGGAUCUCGAGUCCGGGAGAGGUGAGUGGAACUCCGAGUGUAGAGGUGAAAUUCGUAGAUAUUCGGAAGAACACCAGUGGCGAAGGCGGCUCUCUGGGACGGUACUGACGCUGAGACGCGAAAGCGUGGGGAGCGAACAGG
rnacentral:rRNA from 1 species